rnacentral:tRNA from 1 species
UCCCGGGUGGUCCAGUGGUCAGGACCCCACAUUUCCACUGCAGUGGGCCCAGGUUCAAUCCCUGGUCAGGGAA